CACUCCUCCGGGAGGCAGCAGUGGGGAAUAUUGGACCAUGGGCGCAAGCCUGAUCCAGCCAUGCCGCGUGAGUGAUGAAGGCCCUAGGGUUGUAAAGCUCUUUCACCGGUGAAGAUAAUGACGGUAACCGGAGAAGAAGCCCCGGCUAACUUCGUGCCAGCAGCCGCGGUAAUACGAAGGGGGCUAGCGUUGUUCGGAUUUACUGGGCGUAAAGCGCACGUAGGCGGACUAUUAAGUCAGGGGUGAAAUCCCGGGGCUCAACCCCGGAACUGCCUUUGAUACUGGUAGUCUUGAGUUCGAGAGAGGUGAGUGGUAUUCCGAGUGUAGAGGUGAAAUUCGUAGAUAUUCGGAGGAACACCAGUGGCGAAGGCGGCUCACUGGCUCGAUACUGACGCUGAGGUGCGAAAGCGUGGGGAGCAAACAGGAUUAGAAACCCUUGUAGUCCCA
rnacentral:rRNA from 1 species